AUGAAUGGAGGACCGACCGACCCGGGUUUUAAUGAGCGUUGGCGGGUCCUGGAGUUCCUGUCAAGGGCGCUAGCGCAUACCCCGGGAACGCAGCAGCGAGGGACAACCCGCCCAUACAGCCAGCGGGGAGGAUGGCACUACUGGCAAAGACCGUCCGGCGAAAACGCUGUAGGCGCGAAGCGUGGUAGGCCUGUGCCGGGGGAGCAUAACAUAG